CCUACGGGUGGCAGCAGUGGGGAAUAUUGCCCAAUGGGGGAAACCCUGAUGCAGCGACGCCGCGUGAAGGAAGAAGUAUUUCGGUAUUUAAACUUCUUUCCGCCGGGGAUCAAAUGGCGGUACCUGACUAACACGCCCAGGCUAACUACUUACCAACAGCCGCGGUACUACGUCGGGGGCAAGCGUUAUCCGGAUUGACUGGGUGUAAAGGGAGCGUAUGCGGUUUAGCAAGUCAGAAGUGAAAGCCCGGGGCUCAACUCCGGGACUGCUUUUGAAACUGUUGCACUAGAUUGCAGGAGAGGUAAGUGGAAUGCGUAGUGUAGCGGUGAAAUGCAUAGAGAUUAGGAGGAACACCAGUUGCGAAGGCGGCUUACUGGACUGUAAAUGACGCUGAGGCUCGAAAGCGUGGGGAGCAGACAGGAUUAGAUACCCCUGUAGUC
rnacentral:rRNA from 1 species